rnacentral:tRNA from 1 species
GCCUUUGUGGUGUACUGGUCAGUACACUCGACGCGUAUUAAAGAGGUCCGUGGUUCGAGUCCCGGCGAAGGCG